UAUUUCUUUCCUGCUGAGCACAAGAGAAAGAACUCCAGAUUCAUGCAUGAUGAUCUUUCGAAGUCAAUAUUUAUUACUACAUACACACGAUAGAACAUGUAGUGCUGUCGCAGGAAGAUAAAUCUUCGUAUGGCCUUAUUAUUUAGUCUUUUGUGUGGUUAUACUACUAUGUUAUUAUGGUCAUUAACACUCUGUUUUAUGUGAAACACUUGAACUUCUCAAACAUUUUUUCACUAUUCACAAACAUUUUUUGAAACCUAGAACAUUUCAAAUGAGCAUGUUGUAAAUUCAUAAACAUACUUUUAAAUUCAUGAACAUUUUUUUAACACUGAACAUUUUUUGCGGUUGGUGAACAUAUUUUUUAAUUUAUUGUUCGUGAAAAAUAUUGGUGUUUUGCGAACGUAUUUUCUUUUCCUUUAAAAUUUAUCGUUAGCAAACAUUAUUUUAAAGCCGCGAACAUUUUUUCCAAAUUCAUUGUUUGUGAAUGUUUUUUCAAAUUCAUCAUUGGCGAAUAUUUUUUAAAGUUCCAAACAUUUUUUCCACAUCCGUAAACAAUAUUUGUGGUUCGCGAACAUAUUUUCAAAUUUAUCGUCCAUUAAUACAUUAUCACAGUUGCAAACAUUUAUUUUGUAUUUGUGAACAUUUUUGUUGUUCGUGAACAUAUUUUCAAAUUUAUCGUUCAUGAAUGUAUUAUCUUUUCUUUUAAAAUUUAUCAUUCACAAACAUUUUUUAAAGCCGCGAACAUUCUUUUCAAAUUCAUUGCUGGCGAAUUUUUUUCAAAUUCAUCGUUCGCGAACCUUUUUUAAAGUAGUGAACAUUUUUAUAAACUAAUGAGCAUUUUUUGAAGUCGUGAACAUUUUUUCAUAUUUGCGAACAUUUUCUGAAACCAUAAAUUUGAAUUUAUUUGCAUAUUUCCGUAACCGGCCGAUACCUUGUGGAGCCCCUAGUCUGACGUGUCACGGGUCAACGGCGCCAGUUGGCCAGUCAGUAAGGGUCAGACAUAUUUCGGACCUGAAUGACACACUUACUGCACACUUCAAGAAUCUAGAUGUCGAUUUUCAUAGUUUAAGGACCUACAUGAUACAACUGAAAUAGUUCACGAACCUACAAUGCACUUCGCUCCAAGAUAAAUGUAUGCUAUCCCAAUUCAUGUUAUUAAUCAUCUUUGUUCUUCACUGAAUAUGUAUGGACUGCCUAUGUUGAGGCAUUGUAAUUCAUUUUUUUCUCAUAUUAGACCAUCUAGAUUUUUACCACCAUCUACAUAGUUUUUAAUGGACGGCGCAGCAACGCGCGCCAUCAUAAUCUAGCAUAUAUAUAUAGAGUGACACUAUUCUGAUCCUGGGAUCAAAAUAACUAUUUGAAUCACGGGGCCCUAUACAGGGCGCGACGAGGUGUUCCCCAACUUGCCGAACCGAUAGCUGAAAAAAGAAAAAAAAACCACCCACGAACUGCCCACCCACCAGGAUCCCUCCCACCCCGACCACGACCUCCCCAGAUCUCACGCCGUCACCGCGUCCUCCCCGCCGCUGUGCCAUGACCGGACCCCCGACCACCCUGUCGCCGCCGCAGCACCCGGCCUCCUCCACCGCCGGCUAAGCGCCACCUCCCCCGCCGCUGGAGCGCCACCUCCCCAGGCGCUUCCCUCCUACCCCGACGGUGCGACUCACCGGGCGCCGCACCUGCGUCUCGCUGCUCCGCUCCCCGGCUGCUGGUGAGCCAUCCACCCCGCUCUAGCAACCCAUGGCUAUGUCUCCCGCCCUCUUCCUGACUUCCCUCGGCGAGGAUCCACAACGACCGCACGGCCUCCCGCGGCGCCACUGCCGGGCCCCAGCCAUUGCGCGCGGCGGAAGCUAUCACCGCCGCCCCUCCACUCCUACCUCUGCUCCGGCAUGACCUUCCAGCCCCUCCGGAGCGGCCUUCCCUCCCCUCCUACGCGGACUGCCCUCUGCUCCGGCGUGCCCUCCUCCUCCACAACCCCAUCCCCAUCCUCCCUUGAGCACCUUCAUCCCGCCUACAGCCACAUGUGCAAGCUCGACCCACUGCAUCUUCCUCCUCCUUCCUUCCGCCGUUCAACUACACCAACCGGCGCCGUUCAACUAAAUCACCUAGCGCCUCCCAUCUCUAUUUUUCUCCUCAGCCAGCAACCGAAAUGGCGGCGACCGAGCCAUCUCCUCUAGAUGCUCUGCGUGCAGCCGUCCGCCUCUCGCACGCCAUUGACCCCUGUCAUCCCUGUAUGCAUCAUCUUCCUCCUGUGCACGACGGACUUCCUCCCCCGCAGGCUGUGACCUUCUUACUCCAGUGCGGCUGCUAGCCAGCGCUUGUGUUCUCGCUGACCCAUUGUGCGCUGCUGCUUCAGACCCCUUUGGUACCGUUGCUUGAUAUCCAUGUGCAAUUGCUUCAGUUUUUUGACCUGUGCUACUACAUGUCUACUGGUUACUUCCUCCAUCUGAUGUCGCUGAUGUUGCUGUUGUUCAACAUCACGUGGUUGUAGAGGGUACAUGGAAGGUGGAGUAAAUUCCUCAUGGCCGCUUGAACAAAAAAUGGCAGCGACAUCACGGUGGCCGGCGUCUAGAAUGCAUUAAAACUGAAGUCUGAGUGUUGCUAGGUACAUCCAGAGUAAGACACCUGUGAGCUGCUCUGGCGUCUCUCACCUACCUUCCACAAUGCAUGUUCUCGACCUUCCCCGGCGUCUCUCGUUGCUAUCGCACAUGGCGCUCCGCGGUUUCCUGGCAGCUCUCGCCGCAGCUGUGUGUGUGUUGUGUUUCCCUGGCACCUUCCCCCGUGCGUGAGGCUAUGUCACUGAGCUGCUCCUGGUUUUGUUGCUGUCAAUUUGGGCUGCUGCUUGAGGCCAGCGAAUGGCCUUCCCCACUAGCAGGCUGCUCCUUAUGCUUCAUCUAUAGGGGAUCGAGCAGCAGCAAGAAAUUUCGUUGGACACUUUUUAUUCGCAUCAAACUGCUCUUGUUUUCUGCUAUGGAUUUUAUACUACAGUGAAGAGGAAAGUAAAGUCAGAGAGAGAGAGAGCGCAUAGCAAUAGUGAUGAGAGGAUAAGAUUGCAAUGUGUGGGGGAGAAAGCACCACGUUUUCAAUUAAGAAUUGAGACCACUAGUUUUUCCAACCAGGUGUCCUUCUUUUAAGUUGUUAGAACAAAUGCAAUUUUUUCUGCAAACUACAAAUGUAAAAUAUAAAAAUUGAGUUGCAAUUCAACUAUGCCUGAUGCUUUUUCAGAGAAAAGAAACUAUGGAAGUCCAUAUAUUGAUUCUGAGAGAGUUCAAACUUUGUGUUUGAUGUGUGAACACUUUGACGUCCACCAUUUGUUUAUUGAAAUUCCACAGAAGAAAUGACAACAUAUCUAAGCUAGACGCACUACUUUCUCAUAUGUGAACAAGAUGUCAUAUAAAAGAGAAUACAAAGAAAUCGAUCUAUUUUUGUGCUCGUACAACCAUGUAUUUUUCUAUAUUUUAUUUAUUUUCCUAAGGCCAAGAAAUUUUGUUCGAGAAGGUCAAGUUUGAGGUAGUGCAUGAAUUGUUUGUUCAAAACAAAAUGUAUGUAAGUACGUCUCCCAUCAAGAAAAAGGCCAAGGUAUAUUACUAAAAGUUAAAGCAACUAUGAUUUUUGUUCUAGAAAUGCAUGCAAGAUAUACAAAGUAAAAAAAGUAAUUGUGAGCCACGUUAAAUUGGUGUUUCUUAUUUUAGCUAAAAAAGGAUAGUUCAAAGCACUAAAAUUAAAUAAAAACACCCACAUCAUUGUAGUUCUAUUUCAUCAUGUGUGAGAGUCUGAAAAUGAAUAGUUCUUGAAAAGUGCACGUCCACAAGUGCGUUAAAAAUGCCCAUAGAAUGUCAUAUACGAUAGUUGCAAAAAGGUCAAAAUACGAAAUGCAAAAAUAAAGUUUGUACAUAAAUAAAUUUCAGAUGGUCUCAUGUAAAAAUAAAUAAAUAUCAAAUACAAAACCGGUUAGAUGUGUGUGAAAAAAAUGUUUAGUUUUUAUUUUCCCCAUUCAUAGCAAACAAGAAAACUCAGAAGUUCAAAUUAAAUAAAAUGAGUAGUUCAAACUUUACAUAUUCUCUAAAACCAAGAAGACCAAAUUUUAAAAAUGGAGUGGUAUGAUGUUUAUAAAAACUCUGAUUUUACUCUUUACAAAAAUCCUCCGAAAUGUGUCGUUAUUAAAGUGGUUCGAUGUUUAUUGCAAGACUAGAAUUUUUUCUGCUACUAAAAAAUAAAACCAAGAAGUCCAAAUUAAAAAUAUUGAGAAGUUCGAUGAUUAUAGAAACUAUGAUUAUCUUCGUUAUUUAAGAAUGGAAACAAGAAGUUCAAAAUAAAGUAACGCAAUAGCUUGAUGUAUAAAAAAAUGGAAAAUCCGAAUCUAUUGAUGGGAAGAACAUAACAAGUUCAGACAAAAAUAAAAAAAAUACAAAAAUAAGAGAGCACUUUGAAACGGAUAUUUCACAGCUUCUAAUAAAAAAUUAAGAAGUUCGAAUUUUAAACAUAGAGCAGUUCAAAAAAUCGUAAAAAAUGGGAUUAGCACCAUUUCUAUAAAAAUCUAGAAGUUCAAAUUUAAAUAAUGGACCUGUUCAAUAUUUAUUACAAAACUAGGAUUUUGCCGUCACUGAAAGAAAUAAACCAAGAAGUCCAAAUUACAAAAAUAUAGAAGUUCCAUAUUUGUUAGAAAAAAGUCAUAUUUUCCUUGUUACUAAAGAAUAGAAAUGACGGAGUUUAAAUUUAAAAACAGGAUAGUUCGAUGUAUACGGGAAACUUAAAUUAUUACCAUUUCUUAGAAAAAUAAAACUAUGAAGUUCAAUUUUUUUUAAAAGUUUGAUGCUUAUUUAUAAACAAAUUUCCUUUCUAAGAAUAUGACUAAGAAGUUGAAAUUAAAAUAAUAGAGAUGUUCGAACUAUAUAAAAAAACUCAGAUUUGUUGCAAGAAGUUCACGUGCACCUCCGUGCAUGGUUUAUAAUUUAUAUUGUGGGACGUCCGAUCUACAAUUACAUGUUUUAAAAUGACAAAAAAUGACGUUAAACCUUCAAUCACAUGUAAUUCGACGUAUACACAAUAAUAUGACAGAAGUUCAUAGUGAAAACAACGAGAAGUUCAAGUAUUGAAAGGAAUGCAUUUUAGGUGAGAAUAAAUGUAUCAAAACAUAAUAUCUUAAAAGGUUUGUUGAAAGAAGUUCAGGUGCUUUGCCGGGGAAGUUCAAAUAUUCUUGCGAGAGAGGUUCACCUUGUAUUUCCAUGGUUAAAAACACAAAAAAGAAAUUGUAUUUUUGCGUUUGAAAAUAAGUCUCUCAAUCCACAAAGAAGUUCAGUUAUUAUUUGGGAGAAGUUUGGUUUCAAAAAGAAAAACAAAAAUUCAAAUUAUAUAAAUGGAAAAGGUUCAUGUACUACAUGGUGUGUGUUUAAUAUGAGAAAAAUGAAUUAAAAGGCAAGGUCCAAAUUUUUUGUUGUUAUAAGUUCAAGUCCUCGGUCGGAGAAAGUUCAAAAAUUAUUGUGAGAAAGGUUUGUACAAAAGGAUUUUCAUUUGUAUAACACUCACGAAUGGAUGAGAAAAUUACAAAAGAAAAUACGUCAUAGAAGUUCAACCUGAAAACAGCAGGAAGUUCAACUACUAUAUUGAAUGAAUUUCAGAUGAAAAACUUUUAAAAUCGUCAGUAAAAUCCGAGUUUUAAUGUCAUUGGUGCGACGCAACUGGUUCAAAUGCUUGUUACAAACCCAAAGAAGGUCAUUAGAAAAAGCAUCUCAAACAAUUUUAUAACAAAUAUUUUAUCUCUUAAAAUAAACUUAGAAGUUAAAAUUUAAAAAUACAAUGGCUCGAUGUCUAUAUAAAAGUAAUGUUUUCUUUGUUAUUAAAAGAAAUAAAACUAGGAAGUCCAAUUUAAAAAGAUGGAGAAGUUCGAUGAUUAUAGAAAACUCAGAUUUUCCUCAUUAUUAAAGAAUGGAAAAAAUAAGUUCAAAUAUUAAAUAACAAGAUGUUCAACUUUUAAAAAUAGAGUGCUUCCAAAUUUCAUAAAAAAUAUUAAAAAAACCAUGAAGUCCAUAUUAAAAAGAUGGAGAAGUUCGAUGAUUAUAGAAAACUCAGAUUCCCUCGUUAUUAAAGAAUGGAAACAAGAAGUUCAAAAAUAAAAUAACAAGAAGUUCAACUUUUAAAAAUAGAGCGCUUCAAAAUUCAUAAAAAAAGAAUUAAAAAAUUCAGAUUAAUAUUCAUAAAAAACUCAAGGAGAAAAUAGCGGGACGUUCAACUACGGAAUGCGUUUUAAUAAGAAUAUAAGAAUAGAAAACCAAAAGCUUAAAAGGUUUGUUGCAAUAAGUUCACGUGGUCCUCCGUGCAUGGUGCAAAAUUAAUAUUGUGGGACAUCCGACCUCCAAUUACAUGUUUGAAAAUAGCAAAAAAUGACGUCCAACCUUCAAUUACAUGUAAUUCAAUGUAUGCACAAAAAUGUGACAGAAGUUCAUAGUGAAAACAAUGAGAAGUUCAAGUACUGCAUGGAAUGCAUUUCAGGUCAGAAUAAAAAGUAUAGAAAAAUAAAAGCUUAAACAGUUUGUUGUUAGAAGUUCAAGUGCUCUGUCAGGGGAAGUUCAAAAAUUCUUGCGAGAGAGGUUCACCUUCUAUUUCCAUGUUCGAUUUUUUCGUAUAAAAAUCGAAUACAAUUAUUUACUCAAAAUAUAAAAAGGUGAAGUUCAAAUUCAAAUAACAGAGAAGUUCAGAGUUUAUUAAAACCUAGGAUUUACUUGUUGAAAAAAAACACGGCACCAUUUUUUGCACUUUUAAAAAUAACUCAUAAAUGAAAAGAAUGGUUGAUAGAAGUUCAAUUGCUCAGCGAGGAAAAGUUCAAAAAAUUCUUGUGAGAGAGGUUCACCAUGUAUUUAGAUGUCCAAAAUACAUAAAAAAUUUGUUUUUUUUGUGUUUUAAAAUAAUUCUCUCAAACCAGAGAGAAGUUCAAAAGUGAUAACAACCGGAAGUUCACGUACUACAUGGUGUGUAUUUCAUACAAGAAAAAUACAAAUAAAGUGAAACAGAGUGAAGUUCAAAACAGACAUGCCCCAAAAGUUCACCUACUUCACGCAGUGCGACAAAAAACACGUCAAAAAAUAGCACGUCAAAAAUAGAGUGAAGUUCAAACAGACAUGCCCCAGAAGUUCAACUACUUCACGCAGUGCAUUUCUGUUUGCGAUGAACGCAGAAAUCAUGAUCUCACCAUUUUCUAAUUUACCUCAAAACUACAGGAAUAUCAUUUGUGUAAGUUUCAAGUCCUCGGUCGGAGAAAGUUAAAAAAAAUAUUGUGAGAGGGGUUUGUACAAAAGGAGUAGCAUUUGUGUAACACUAACGAAUGGAUGAAAAAAUUACAAAUGAAAAUACGUCACAGAAGUUAAACGUGAAAACAGCAUGAAGUUCAACUACUACGCUGAAUGAAUUUCAUAUGAAAAACUUCGAAAAUCAUCACGAGUAUGAAAAAACGAUCAACACGGGAAAGUUAUGUGCUUACAGCAGCUUUCCACUGGUAUAUCACUUCCUUUAUUCCGGUGAGUGGAUGGAGAGUUACGAGCAGUGGAUGGAGACCUACGAGCAAAAAAAUCACAUGAAAAACAGAGUGUAGUUCAGGUACACACGCCGAGAAGUUCAGGUUCUUCACGCGGUGCAUUUUCGAUGAAUCUGUUUCGCGAUAAAGGCAGAACGCACGAUCCCGCCAUUUUCGAAAUUACUUGAAAAUGGAUAGGAAUCAGAGAAAACCAUCAACACGAAAAAGUUUCGUAUUUUCCUUAGCUUUACAGCGGUAUAUUAUUUGCCCCAUUCCAAUAAAGUUUGUAGAAAUUACGGCGAAAAUACGUUUUUCGUCAUUUUCAAAACUGACUUAAAACCGUAAAGAAUUGGGAGAAACAAUACAUACCAAAAAGUUUUGCAUUUGUUCAAGAUUUCCAACGCCAUAUCAUUUGCUGCAUUUGGAAACACGGUUAAAAAAUUAGCUCGAAAAUACGAAAUCGGUAGGACUUGGACCAUUUUCUAAAUUACUCGUAAACCAUUCAAAAUUAGAAAAAAAAACUUUCAAGAUGAAAAAGUAGCGAAUUUUCAUAAGCUUUCCAACACCGUAUCAUAUGCCUCCAUUGGAUUAGCCGUUUAGAAAUGACACCGAAAAAACGAACUCAGCUGUUCGGUUUACGAAAUUUUACGUUUUUUCAAAUUACUCUUUAACCAUAGGGAAUUAGAGAAAACUUUUAACAUGUGGAAGGAGCGGUUUUGCAGCAGCUUUCCAACGCCAUAUUAUAUGCCUCAUUCCGAUAAACGGUCUAGAAAUGCGAUCGAAAAUACGAUUCAUGUUUUUUGUGCGAAGGAAAAACGGUUUUCAAAACUGCUCUUAAACCGCUUAUAUUUUGCCAAAAAUUUAAGUUGGGUCAUGAUAUUGGUGUCCAUAGCUUUCCAACGGUAUAUCGCAAGCCCCAUUUGCAAUGUUGGCGGAAGUUCAACCUAGUUCACAGGGAAGUUCAACGUACUACUAGCGGGGCAGGUCAGGUUGUGAUCCGAAUAUUAUUCUGAUCCCGUGAUCAGAAUAGUGUUUAUAUAUAUAUAUAUAUAUAUAUAUAUAUAUAUAUAUAUAUAUAUAUAUAUAUAUAUAUAUAUAUUCAAAUGAAGAACAGCGACGGAAAGAGUGAAGAUAGUGCAAAGUUGAAGAAUUUGAAAAAGUAAGGAAUUUCAAAAACAAAGAAAAACUCAAAUUGAAGAUUUUCAACUUUGGUUGGUGGCGUAACCAUCGUAUAAGAAAGUUGAUUUCAGACACCGCAUACAAUUUGUCGUAGGGCUCUGAGAAUCAAUUUCUUCAUUAAUUUCUUCACACUUAGAGGGUUAGUCUUCAUUGAUUGAAGAAAAACGUUACUUUGUGUGUUGCGCAUCUAAGUCAUCAAGUGAGCAUUAGUGUUAGGAUGUGUGUCCAUUUCAGAGAACAUUCGAAUAUUCUAGGAUAUUUAGCUUACACCACAACUUGCUAAAUCUCUUCUCAUCCAAGGGUUUAGUGAAGAUAUCGGCCAGCUGGUCUUCGGUGCUUGCGUGGUCGAUGGAGAUAUCGCACUUACCCACAUGAUCAUGAAGAAAAUGAUUGCGAAUCUGGAUGUGCUUGGUCUUCGAGUGCUGAACUGGGUUAUGAGCAAUCUUGAUAGCGCUCUCAUUGUCGCAGUAGAGAGGCACAUUCUUCACAUUGAUGCCAUAGUCCUUGAGUGUUUGCUUCAUCCAUAGUAAUUGAGCACAGCAUGAUCCAGCAGCAAUGUACUCAGCUUCUGCAGUGGAGAGUGAUACACAGUUCUGUUUCUUCGAGGACCAACAGACCAAAGAUCGUCCGAGGAAAUGGCAUGUGCCUGACGUUGACUUAAGGUCCACACGAUCACCAGCAUGGUCAGAGUCUGAAUAUCCAAUGAGAUCAAACGAAGGGCCCUUGGAUACCAUAAUCCAAGUGUUAGUGUGUGAGCUAGAUAUCGAAGAAUAUGCUUCACAGCCUUAUGGUGUGAUUCCUUCGGUGUAGCUUGAGAUCGGGCACACAUGCAAACACUAAGCAUAAUAUCCGGCCUAGAUGCACAUAGGUACAAUAAAGAGCCAAUCAUGGAGCGGUAUACCUUUUCAUCAAAGUCUUUACCAUUUUCGUUAGUGCAUAGAUGGCCAUUUGUGGGCAUUGGAAUUUUGACCCCUUUGCAAUCUUGCAUGCCGAAUUUCCUCAAUACAUCAUUGAGGUAUUUCUCCUAAGAUAUGAAUAUGCCAUUGCGCUGUUGACGAAUUUGAAGACCUAAAAAGAAUUUCAAUUCUCCCAUCAUAGACAUUUGAUAUUCUUCACUCAUCAUAUAGGCAAAAUCAUCACUAUAUCGUUGGUCAGUACAGCCAAAAAUGAUAUCAUCAACAUAAAUUUGGCACACAAACAAUUCACCGUCAUAAGAUUUAGUGAAAAGAGUUGGGUCGAGUGAGUUGGGUUUGAAGCCUUUAUUCAUGAGGAAUUCCUUCAAAGUAUCAUACCACGCCCGAGGGGCCUGCUUGAGGCCAUACAGGGCCUUAUUGAGUCUGAAGACUUUGUCAGGAUGCUUUGGAUCUUCAAAACCUGGGGGUUGAGCAACAUAUACUUCUUCCUCAAGCUUACCAUUGAGGAAUGCACUUUUCACAUCCAUUUGUUGUAAGAUAAUAUCAUGAUGGUUAGCAUAAGCAAGUAAUAUGUGAAUAGCCUCAAGUCUAGCAACAGGUGCAAAAGUUUCAUCAAAAUAAAUUCCUUCAACCUAUGUGUAGCCUUGAGCUACAAGCCAUGCCUUAUUCCUCACCACAAGGCCAUUUUCAUCUUGCUUGUUGCGGUAGAUCCACUUCGUGCCAAUAAUGUUGUGCUUGCGAGGAUCUGGACGUUUGACUAGUUCCCAGAUGUUGUUGAGCUCGAACUGAUGUAAUUUUUCUUGCAUAGCUUGAAUCCACUCAGGCUCCAGAAAUGCUUCAUCUACCUUAGUGGGCUCUGUGAUAGAGACAAAAACAAAGUGCCCACAAAAGUUAGACAAUUGUGAAGCUUUUGAGCGUGUGGAGGACUUGAUGCUUCAAUGUCAUCGAUGAUCUUCUCGAUUUGCACUUCGUUUGCAAUGCGAGGAUGAGCGGGUUGUCUUCGAGUAAUUUGAUCCGCAUUUUCUUUAGGAGCAUUUGCCUCAGCACCAUUUUCUUAAGGUGCGCCAGCUCGACAUUCAUCACGUUCUGGAAUGAAUUCUUCGGCAGAUUCUUUGGUAGGAAUGACAUCCUCAGUAGCCUUGAACUUGAUAGAUUCCUCAAGUGAUGGUUCAUCUAACACAGAAGCUAGGUGCUCUCUUUGCGAGCCAUUAGUUUCACCGAACCACACAUCUACAGUUUCAACAACCUUGUGGAAAAUGUUGUUGAAGACUUUGUAGGUGUGCGAGUACUUUUCGUAACCAAGAAUAAAACCCUCAUGUGCUUUCAGUGCAAAUUUAGAAUUGUGAUGAGGAUCUCUAAUCCAACAUUUAGCACCGAAGACUUUGAAGUUGGGUUUCUUGUCAGUGAGGAGUUCAUAAGCAGUCUUCUUGAAGAAUUUGUGAAGAUAUACUCUGUUGAUGAUGUGGCACGCAGUAUCAAUUGCCUCAAUCCAGAAAUGAUGAGGCGUCUUGUAUUCAUCAAGCAUAGUGUGAGCCAUCUCUACAAGAGUUCUGUUCUUGCGCUCCACGACGCCAUUCUGCUGAGGAGUAUAAGGAGCAGAUAACUCAUGAGUAAUACCAAGUUCAUCAAGAUAGUCAUCAAGACCGGAAUUCUUGAACUCAGUCCCAUUGUCACUUCUGAUGUGCUUGAUCUUCACACCAAAGUUGGUUGAAGCCCUCAAUGAAAAUCAUUUGAAGACUUCCCGCACCUCAUGUUUGUAAGUGAAAAUGUGCACCCAUGUGUAACGAGAAUAAUCAUCAACAAUAACAAAGCCAUAUAGAGAUGCAUCAUUUGUAACAGCAGAAUAAUGAUUAGGACCAAAGAGAUCCAUGUGAAGCAAUUCAAAUGGUCGAGUGGUAGUCAUGAUAGUCUUCGCUGGAUGCUUGGCCUUUAUCAUCUUCCCAGCUUCACAAGCUCCGCAUAAGUGAUCCUUGAGGAAUUUGACAUUCUCAAUGCCAAUGACAUGCUUCUUAUUCGCAAGCAUGUGCAAAUUCCUCAUGCCAGCAUGACCAAGUCAUCGAUGCCAUAGCCAGCCUUCUGAAGCUUUUGCAAGUAGGCAUACGGCUGGUUGUGGUCCUGUAGAGAAAUCAACAAUGUACAAGUCUCUUUUCCUAAAGCCUUCGAAGACUUUGGAAUUGUCAGCUUCCAUGAUCACAACACGACGAUAUUUGCCAAAGACAACAACCAUAUCGAGAUCACAAAGCAUCGAGACAGACAUGAGGUUGUAUCCUAAGGACUCGACAAGCAUGACUUUGUCCAUGUGUCGAUCCUUUGAGAUCGCAACCUUACCUAGACCCAAUACCUGACUUUUGCCUUUGUCAGCGAAGAUGAUAUGCUUCAGAUGCGAUGGUGAUAAAGGAACAUUCAUCAAUAGAUUCUUGUCACCAGUCAUGUGAUUUGUACAUCCACUAUCGAGGACCCACUCAUUGGCUUUGGGUUGAUCAUCCUGCAGAUGAAUUAGUGCAACUUACGAACUCAUAUACUUCAUCAGUGAAGAAUAUGACAUCAAUAUCAUCAGAUCAAUUUCGUCAAGCAAUAGAAUAGAUAAAACAGUAUGAGGACGUGAGAAAUGAAAGUUCAUUUCUUCAUGAUUAGCCUGCGUCCUUUCAGGCAAUGUUCAGGUCUCCAGCAAAUUCUUCAGACGAUUUAAGUACGUCCGUAGACCUGACCCUGCAUAAGAGGUUAGUUCUUUUUCUUCACCACCCACAUCUGUAGGGGUGGCAAAGAAUUCAUCACUCUGCGAGCAUCAUAUAAGAAAGGUGGCAUAGAAGCCAGUCCACUUCGUUUCACAUAAGAGGCGUUAGGAUAAGCAUAUGAAUAAGCAGAGAAAUUCUUCGAGGACUUAUGAACAUAAUGAUUAGAAGAAUAAUGCUCAUAUUCAUAGCCCUUAGCUCUACCCUGCGAAACAAAAAGAGGGGUUUGCACGAUGAUGAUCAUAUGAAGACUUUGAUCCUUUUGAGGAAUUUGAUCCACGUGAAGAAUUUGGUCCAUAUGAAGAAUUUGAUCUGGAGUUCCUAUUCUUCACAGGUGGUCUCAUGAGGACAUUCACCUGAAGACUUUCAAGGCAACUUUUGGGAACCCAGAUUUUCCUCAUAGGGGAAUCGUUCCUACAGUUAGUGCCAACAUAUCUAGCAAAUACUUCACCAUUCUGAUUUUUGAACAAUUUAUAGUUGGAGUCAAAUGACUCAUCAGAAGAAUGAGGAGAUUCACAUGUAAAGCUAGAUAAAUUGGAUGGAUCAACUGGAGGUCCCUUUGCAGCAACCCAUGAGGUUUUGGGGUACUGCUCAGGCUUCCAAUAUGUUCCAUCAGCAUUGAGUUUCCUCUCAAAGGAAUACCCUCUUUCCUAGGGUUCCUGUUGAGGAUCUGCUUUUUAAGCACAUCACAAAGAGUCUGAUGCCCUUUAAGGCUUUUGUACAUGCCUGUCAUGUACAAUUCCUUCAACCCUGCAUCGUCAGUGAUACUAGCAAUGUCCUCAGAUGAGGAAUUAGUGAUAGUAGAGACAUGUGAAGAAAUUGUAGCAUUAGAAGCAUUUGAACAUUCAGGUGAAGAAUUAGCAGAUUCACGAUCAAUGCAUUUCAAACAUGGAGGAACAAAUUCUUCCUGAGUAGCGCUGAUUUGUUGAGCAAAUAAUGAAUCGCGCUCCUUCUGAAGAUCUUCAUAAUCCACUCUUAGCUUCUCAAGAUCUUGCUUUCUUUGAAGAAAUUCAUAAGAAAGCUUCUCGUGAUUAGAUAAGAGAGUGUUAUGAUGACCUUGAAGGGUGUCAAACUUGGACUGAAGUCUCUGAAGACUCUCAGCCAAAGCUUUCUACUGAUCCAUUUCUUCACCAACAUAUCAUCGCUCUUAUUUAGCAUGUAUUGAACUUUCUCCAAAGCUCUUUGUUGUUUAGUGGCAAGGGAAGCAAGUUUGACAUAGCUGGGGCCAAAUUCAUCACCUGAUUCAUCAUCACUAGAUUCGGAAAGGUAGCAUUCAGUUACCUUCGCACCCUCUGCCAUAAGGCACGGUGAAGAGGAUGAUGAUUCAGGUGCGAAAGUCAUCUCUUUGAGAGAAUCCUUGUAAUCCUCAAACCAAGGAUCAUGACGAGUACGAUGACCUUCGUAGACCUCAGAGAGCCGGUCCCAGAUUAGCUUCGCGUGAUUGAGAUGCAUGACGUUCCUGAACUGAUUUUGGGACAAACAGGAGCAGAUGACAUCCUUCGCUGUGAGGUUGAGUAGAGUGUACUUGCGAAUGUCAUCAGCCUCCGCCAUCUUGCAUAGAUCGGUAAGACCAAUCUCAGUGACGGUCCACAGUUUGCUGUCCAUAGCCAUGAGUCGCUUCUUCAUCAUGGCCUUCCACCGAGGAUACUCAUGACCGUCAAAGGGGGGCAGGAUACGUUCCUCAUUCCUACAGUCGACAUAACUAAAACUCCAGGCGGUUAAACCAAAAUCACACAGAACAAGGGAGUACCUUGCUCUGAUACCAAUUGAAAGUGCGUUAUAUCGACUAGAGGGGGGUGAAUAGGCGAUUUUUAUGAAUUCUUCAAUGAGGAAUUUUCCGACGAGGAAAUUCCUAAACGAAGAACUACUUGCAGCGGAAUAGGUACUCAAAAGUAAACAUAGCAGAACACAAGCAUAGUCAUCAUGAUGAAAUGAAGACAAGCACAAAGUACAGAAAGCGUAAGCACAUGAUAACACAGGAUGAAGACGGACAGACUGAAGAAAUUGAACUGAGGAAAUUGAGAAAGUCUUUAGUCAAAGUCUUCAAACAGAUAUGAACAAGCACACAACAACAGAAAUGAGGAAAUGAAAGAGUUGAGGAAAUAGAACCAGUAAGCUUGGGGAAGAAAGUGAUUUGGUAGACCAGUUCCAACUGUUGUCUCAGUUGUACGUCUGAUUGGAGCGGCUGAGUAUUUAAACUCGAGGACACAGUCCCGGACACACAGUCCUCUCCGUAUUAUCCUUGAGUUAAGGUCACACAGACCUCGCCCAAUCACUCGUGGUAAGUCUUCAGGUGACUUCCAAACCUUCACAGACUAGGUCACUUGGUGAUCCACAAUUCCUCUUGGAUGCUCUAGACCAUGACGCCUAACCGUCUGGAAGAAGCACAGUCUUCAAAGGUAAGAAGCAUCGGAUCCACGCAGGAUCAAUCUCUUCAGUGAUGCUCAGUCACUUUGAUUUUGUAGGUGUUGGGUUUGGGUUUUCCUCAGUUGAUGAUUUUCGCUCAAAGUCCUCGGAGGAUGGGAUGCUCUCAAAUAACAAGUGUCAGUUUCUCUCGGAGCAGCCAACCAGCUAGUGGUUGUACGGGGCGACUAUUUAUAGCCUAGGGAGCAGCCCGACAUGAUAAGACAUAAAUGCCCUUCAAUGAUAUGACCGUUAGGUGGGUAGAUAUUUUGGGACAACUGGCGCAUAGCACAGCAACGGUCGGAAUUUUGACUCUCAAAUUCCUCAGGGCUAUCAUGUUCCUCACUAUGUAGGUAAUCCGCACUAGCGAAUUCCUAACUCCUCAGUCAGAACAAAUUCCUCAGAGACUAGAUGAACUUCGUCUCUGUCACUGAAGAAUAUGACUGAACUGUAUGAGAUUUCCAAUGGCUUCACUCGAAGGGAUUGGUAGGUGUAAGAUUUUGAGUUGAGCAUCACAUGGAAAUUUUUCCUUAGUAUUUCCUUGACCCCCUUUAAUAGUACGGUGUUUCCUAUGACUCAAGAAAGAGAAAAUGAAACUACGAAAACAAAAGUCUUCACGCUUCAUGUUCCUCGAAUGAUUGCCAAGUCUCCAAGGUCACACCAAUUUCUUCACUUUCAAAGUCUUCAGAAAGUCUUCAGAAAUCCAAAGUCUUUAGUCGAAGAACUUCAUUUUUAGGGGUCGACUUUCUCUGUAAAUAUCAAACUCCUCAUAGAAUUAUAGACAUGUGUACACUCACAAACGCAUCAGUCCUUUAACCUAUAAGUCUUCAAUACACCAAAAUCACUAAGGGGCACUAGAUGCACUUACACAUCCCCUUGGACAACCUUAAGUACAUUAUCCUGCAAUGCCCACUUGAGCUCCUCUUCUCUAAGGAGAGCUCGUAAGCCUUGCUCAGCUUUGGACACUGAGCUCUGCUCCUCAACCGUAAGAAGGUUACCUUCAGCUUUUAAAUCUAACGCCUCUAUUAGUUGGGUGAGUCGCUCUUUUUCUUGCCUGUAAGUCUCACUCUCGUUUCUGGCCCAACCUCGCAAAAAACUGUCUUAGAUGUCUAAUCUUAUUUUGCCAUCUCUCAAUACUAGUAGUUCGUCCACUAACAGGCUUUGCCCAUUCGCGUGCAAUGAUCUCCAAGAAGUUUUCUUUCUCGAACCAACCUAGUUCGAAAGAGAAAACAUUCUUGUUUGCACUAUGGGUAGCCUCUCCCGUGUCUACUAGUAAUGGUGUUUGGUCUGAGAUCGCCCUCUUCAUCACAUGAACUGACACUAAUGAGUACUUUUGUUCCCAUUCCACACUAGCGAGCACCCUAUCCAACUUCUCAUAUGUUGGAGUGGGCAACGUAUUGGCCCAUGUAAAUUGUCUACCGGUGAGAUCAAUUUCUCUCAUGUUAAGACUCUCAAUAAUCAUGUUAAACAUCAUAGACCAACGUCCAUCAAAAUUGUCAUUAUUCUUUUCAUCUCUCCUCCGUAUUAUAUUAAAAUCCCCUCCGACUAGAAUUGGAAGAGUCUCGUCUCCACAUAUCCGCACCAAGUCAGCUAAAAAAAAAUUUGCUUUAAGUUCGGGUUGUGCUGCCCCAUAUAUAGCAACGAGAGCCCAUCUGAAGCCAUCUACUUUCGAUCUCACCCAAAACUUGACCGCAAAAUCCCCCCGAACCACGUUAAGCACCUCAAGCGUUUCACACCGAACCCCUAGUAAUAUCCCACCAGAUCUUCCUCUCGGAGGUAAGACGUGCCAGUCAAAAUCUAUUCCUCCGGAUAAAGUUCCAAGAAACUGUGAGGUGAAAUUAUCCCUUCGUGUUUCGAGUAGCGCAAUAAAAUCUAAUUUUUGCAGUACGAUGCCCAACGAAUCCAUCGGCCCGGAAUCAUCUCUCUGAGACGAAUGUACAUUCGGAGACAUAGCAUCAGGGAGCAUCACUGGUGGUAACUCGAGCUCCUCUGGAUCAUCCGCCUUGACUCGGUUACUCCAUAACCGGCUAGGCAUAGACCAUGCUCCGAAAGAACCAAACAGAAGUGUAUUCAUCGGUGUCGUGGAAGAUGACGCCUCCUUGGCAGAUUUAUCCGCCUUAUCCGACUGCGACUUUGGAGCCUUGUCCGACUCUCGUGGUGCGCUCUCAGGCCCCUUGUCCUGAUUCCCAGGGGCUCCAUCUCCCUCAGUCGUAUCCAUAUCCUGAUGUUCAUCCCCCUCCCGAGGUAUCGGUGUAUCCUCAAUCUCAAUCUCGAGCACGUACGUGACCCCGGCAUGCGUCCACUUGACCACAUCUGGCACGAACUCCAGACCGACCACACUGAUCAGUAACCUCGCAGCUCCGUGUGCACGAGUGAAAGGCAUGUCUACCUGUUCCGUCUUACCAAUGAGAGAUCACAAGCUCCAAGCUACCAAGAAGUGAUGCUGAUAGGGAUGUGUCGGACAGGUCUUUUAUGUUGUAUCGGACAGGUCUUCUAAAGGAUGCUGAUAGGGAUGUGUUCUAGGGAUGCAUCCAUAUGGUGAUAAAAGAAGCAGAACUCUCGCGCGCCAGAUGAAGCCCGUGACAGCUGCGCCGGGCACGGGGCAGGCCACUAGAGCGUGAUGUUUCGUUGCUGAAAUUGAUCCCUGAGCUCAUAUGAACUGAUGCUGGCUUGUGCACUUAGUACUUAGUAGGCUCCCCUGGUGUUGAUCGGUUGGUUGUCUUUUAUUACGGUCUCCUGGUACAGUAGUGUUGAUAGACUUGCGGGUUGUCAUUUGUCUUUUGGUUUGAUACUAUCUUCUGUAGAUGUGUUGCUAGGUUUUCACCCCGUAGCGAAUGUUUCGAGCCGAGCAUUCCCAGCGGAUUUCUUGACAAUGCACCAACUCGCCUGCCCUUCUUUUCCUUCUCCUUUCCUUGUUAGUACUUGUAUUGGUUCGGUGAACUUUGUAUUCCAUUAAGCAAUUAAUGUAAAGGGGAUGCCUGGUUGGAUAAAAUAAUAAUAAUAAUUGAUUAGUUGAACAGCCGUUAUCUCAUCUGCCUCGAGCAGUGGAGGAGACACAGAACGACUGUCUAUACAAAUAAGAAACAAGCAUGGAGUACAGCACAUAGUGCGUAGGAUGAAACAUAUAAAGUCAAUGGUGGGUGGCGUGAUAGUGGCUCUUGGUUUUGAAUAUGUAACAAUAGUUAUUAAUUGAACAGAUCAUCAAAAUACAACUCAUCUGCCUCGAGCAGCGAAUGCAGACAUCGGAGGACUAGGUCCAUACUUACCAUAAGCCAGCCAUGGAUGCGUAGUCAACGAAGAAGCAAAGAUCUGAUGUAAGGAAGAGAUACAGAAACGUCUCUCCCAUUUAUCGGAAACACCGCCGAAGAAAGACAAAGCUCGAUCGGCUAGCUUACCAUGUUUCCCUUUUCUGUAUUGACACUGCUUGGUAAGUGUUGUUCGACCAGUCAGAAGGCCUCCCUUUCGUAAUCAUCUGCGUUAAUCUCCCUCUUUCUUUUGUCCUUUUAGAUAUUAUAAGAUUGUAGGCAGAGGCGGAGAGAGAUCCAGUAUCGGUAGCGGGUUCUGAUUGAUGGAGCACCUGCGAGAGUCCAAGGAAGAAGCGGAGAUUGUAGAGGAGGAGGCCGAGAAAUCUCCUCAUGAGGCGCAUGAGGGCGUUCUCUCUGAUCCAAAUCCUACCAAAGGUGAGCCCCUCUCACUUACUAAUAGCUGCAUGACUUGUUUCAUUUCCAUUGUGAUAUGAUAAACUAGCUAGUAGGAGUACCCUGUUGUUGGCAACUGUUAUCCUUGUACUUCUUAUCUGCGCUCUGCCCCGUUAGGCUUUGCUAAGUCAGCGCGAUCUAAUUAUCUACAUAAUUCAAUCCAUCCAGAGUUUGGAUGAUCUUCGUCCCCUCACCCAGGGAUUAAACUCAAUUUUGUGGAAUAUCUAUCAAUUAUUGAAUCUUAUAUGUAUGUAUUUGAAGCACCCUGACCCAAAAAUUAAUCAUAGAAAAUCACCUAAACAUCAUCAUAGAAUCCAAAUUAAACUGUUAGGAUUAAAUAAAAGACCAUGGAGUUUAUUUUUGUACGUACCCAUAGAGUCCUAAGAGCUUUGCCUUGGACUUCACUUCCCUCUUUUACAAGUUUUAGGACGGUUGACAAAAAUAAGAGCCGUUCAUUGAAGGUGAUCUGAUGGUGGAGAAACAGAAGAUACCAAAGAAAAAGUACAGGAAAUACCAAAUAGGUGGUGCCACUACCACAAAACGAUGGAACCAGUUCCCAUAUUGUUUUCUUUUUUUAAUAUACUAAAAGGUAGAUUUGUAACAUAGCACUCCUAAUCUGAAAGCAUGCCUCCAUUUCCAACAACUCAAUCAUGAUUCACAUGUUCUUUUUUUCUGGAGAGUGUAGUUUUUUGCUCCCAGAUGCACCUACAACCUUCAUGAACAGUACAAAAAUGGAAACAAAAAUUUAAAAAAACUGAUAUUUUCUGACAUUAAACAUGGUCAAACAUAUUAUGUGCUCGCAAAAUUUUGUCCACAAAUAACAUUUGUGGAGACCUAGAAAAUAAAAACAAAAUUAGUUUUCAAAGUUUUGAAACUUUUUAGCAGUUAUUUUGUUGUUUUUUGUUUUGAGCUCUUCAAUUGUUAUUUGUGGAAAAAAAUUUGCAACACCUAAUUUUAUUGAUCAUAGGUUUGAUGUUUUGAAUUUUUUUUAAAUUUACUGUUUAGAGAGCUGCCACACCUUUCUCUUUUUCCUGCUUCAUCGCCUAAUUGGAUUAGAUUAGAUACGGGGCUUUCUCGCAUUUGUUCUUGUUGUCCGUGGCGAUGAAGCCAACGGCCGGGAGGAUUCCUUGUCAAUUGAGACCACACAACAAGUCCUCAUCACAGACGAGCGAGUGCAGCGCGACGGAGUAGAUGAAUGCGUCUUGCCACCUGACCACCGUCUGAGGAGUCUGUCUGGCCGACCUCGACGAGGUCUUGCCACGCGACCAUCAUUGACAAGAAGUCCAUCGCCUACCACCAGCAACGAGGUCAUGUCACGGGCCCAUCAUCGAUCAUAACAACACGAGAAAGCCUCGUGUCAAUUCAAUCUUAAUGACUGAUAUGCAUGGAUGAAAAUGGAAGGGACGGAGCGAAGCAAAAUUAUUCGAUUACUAUGAUACUAUUAUUAAUAAAAUCAAUAUUUAAGUAUUUUCUCAUGGUCAAUAAAAUAUUGAUGGGUAAAUACCGGAAGUACCAGUGGUACAUGCCUAAUCCUUUUCGCAAAAAGAAAAUGCCCAACUUUAAAUUAAUGAAGCCAUCAACCAACUAGGAUAGGAGCAGCUACAACAGAAAACAGCUUUGUGGUACAAAAAUAGAAAAAAUCGACCUGGAACAUCGGAUUCAACAUGGAUGGCCCAUAUUCUAGCGGAAACAUCCCAGACACUUAAUGGACAUUUCAUGGAAAAACCCCUGAUAAUGUAUACAUAUGAAACAUGACUUGUACAAUAAUGACCCCAACUUUCUCAUAUUCAAUUGUUUUGUCCUCAGUAAAUAAGACUAAUUUUCAAAUCUUCUCAACGUUGAUGUUCCAUCUCACUGAUUACCCAAGAAAAUUGAACUUGUUGGCUCCUAAUUUUUUUGUCAAUGUAUAUCACAGUAUUUGUAUACACAUGAAAUUUAGACAGCCAUUUCAACUAUAUGUCAAACUGGACCAUCCCAGGCAAAAUCGGUAACGACAUGAACAGAAGUGACUCAACUAGAAACAUGCCUCAUCCAGAGUUUAAAAAAAAACAUCAUCCAAACACAGUAGCUGUUAUAUGCAGGAAAAUAGUACUUCUUUCCAACAGCAGAAGCAUGACAGGAAGCAAAACAACCAAGAUCCGGCAAUAAUCUACACUUAGUACAUGCAGAAUUAAUAAGUACAAACAUGCAUACAACAGGUUAACAACUACCAUAUACAGAAUUACAGAAUUACAUAAUUCUCAUCAAUUCUCAGCGAGAACUGGUCCAUGAUCUACAAGUCUGAUACAAACUCAGUGCAAAGUAGAGUGGAUAGACCACUCAGUUAUAACGGGUUUGGCAUCAAGCAAGACUUACUCUCUCCUCGUAAUCUGGCCACAUCGACAUCAGCAUCUUUGGUCUUGGUGCUUCUUUCUCAUCGAGGUUUAUGUGCUGGAAAGAUGACACCAAGCAAAAUCUUAAUCAGUUUGAGCACAAGACCAUGUAAGUCUCACACACCCAUACUUAAAAAAUUUGCUCCUGAGCUAAUCUAAUGAGUAUGCAUUAACAAUACCAUUUCAUUAGCAGGAAGAAAACUGUACGCUGCAUAUAGCCAUUUGUACACUUUACUUAAUAUCAUCACUAAACUUGCAGAAACAAUUUGAUCAAGUAUAAUUACUGCCAGAGGGGAGAUGAAAUUCCCUACAUCGUUUUUUCAAAUAUGUUAGUGGAAAGAUGAUUCAAACGCAAUAUAACCAGCUAAAUCAUUUGGGUAUAUUGUUACUAUGUAGUAGACAUGUCUCCUUCAUACUUCAAACUCGUAACUAGCAUCGAUGUCAUAGUACCACAUUACACAUGUAGCCGAUAUGACACAAUCAAAAAACUCAAAUGAACAACCAGCAAAGCCGCAUUUAGUUAGAGGGUUUAAAAUGCAGCAAAGAAAGAAGGGGAAAAUACUCAUAUGUUAAUAUAAUAUUUCUUCAUAAAGCAAGACCAUAUAAACUACUUCUUGAAUUUGACAUUGCCAACCAUGACUAUACAUAACUGGAAGAGCGCACCGAUCCCCCACUAGAAUAUAACAAAUUGAGUAAAUAGGAAGAAUAAAUGCUGAAGAAUCAGACUAAUGACUGAAGAAACUUGUGAACAAUGAAAAUGCUAAAAUGCAAAGAUACUUUUCUGCAAAGUGCUUUUCUGUGAAGANNNNNNNNNNNNNNNNNNNNNNNNNNNNNNNNNNNNNNNNNNNNNNNNNNNNNNNNNNNNNNNNNNNNNNNNNNNNNNNNNNNNNNNNNNNNNNNNNNNNNNNNNNNNNNNNNNNNNNNNNNNNNNNNNNNNNNNNNNNNNNNNNNNNNNNNNNNNNNNNNNNNNNNNNNNNNNNNNNNNNNNNNNNNNNNNNNNNNNNNNNNNNNNNNNNNNNNNNNNNNNNNNNNNNNNNNNNNNNNNNNNNNNNNNNNNNNNNNNNNNNNNNNNNNNNNNNNNNNNNNNNNNNNNNNNNNNNNNNNNNNNNNNNNNNNNNNNNNNNNNNNNNNNNNNNNNNNNNNNNNNNNNNNNNNNNNNNNNNNNNNNNNNNNNNNNNNNNNNNNNNNNNNNNGGUCAGUUGAGAAGUUCUGAAUUGAAAGCUUUGCAAAAAAUUCUAGUCCCGGCUCGGAGCCCCUACCCUUAUCACAGAAUGACUACUCACUGAUCAUUUCAAUCACUAUGCAGCGUGAAAUACAGUAGUCUUUAAAUUAAACGUUUUAUAGUCUUGCCUGUGGUAAUCGAAUGUAUAUGGUAGUACUAAUAGUUUUUUUUUAACUUCUGUUUCUUUAUGCUUAGAUGUCUCAAAGCGAGGUAGCAGAAAAGACAGAGGCAAAGUGAGGGAAACAGAUGGCCCAAUUAGUGCUUCGAUGGGUGCCAUGAGAACUCUUGUUUUGAAGCUGGAUAAUUUGCUGCUAGCUCCUCCUCAAGUAUGCUCGUCCGUCAGUGUCCAACACGGGAUGAGCCUCCUUAAAAAUGAUGUCCAUAAGAUGUGCACCUACCUUGAUCAAUUGUCAGGGUUGGAGGACCCUCCCCUGACGGCCAAGUGCUGGAUGAAUGAGGCGCGCGACCUGUCAUACGACAUGGAGGAUUAUAUCGACAGUUUGUUAUUUGUGCAGCCUGCAGAUCCAUCCCUAGUUGCCAAUAACAUCAAGACCACGAGAUCACUCCUCAAAUUGUUCAGUCCUGUCAAGAAUCCCAAGAGGCUCCAGCAGCCCAACAAGAUUGCAGAAACAGUAUCAGAAUUCAGGAUGUAUGUUCAGGCGGCGAUUCAACGACACGAAGUAUAUGUUCUGUCAGAUUCCGCUCCAUGUUCCUCCAGCACCUUGAGGGGUAGAUUUGUGUCUGCAGGCCAUAUACUUCCAACACCUUAUGAAGAAACUGACGACAUAGUGAUAAAUGGCCCGAUGAACAAAUUUAUCAAUUCACUGGCUAAGGAUGGGGAAAAGAAUCUCAAGGUAGUAUCUGUUUUUGGAUCUGCCUGUCUUGGUAAAACUACACUUGCUAGAUUGUUGUACGACAGAUUUGGGAAGCAAUACAAUUGUCGAGCUUUCAUUCGGGUGUCAAAGAAAGCUGAUAUGAAGAGAAUUUUUCGAGACAUGCUCUCACAACUCAAGCGGCAGCAUCCCCGACAAGAUUGCGAGGACAUUGAACUCAUUUACUAUAUUACAGAAUAUCUACAACAUAGAAGGUGCUUUUGUUUUUCUUCUAACAGAAUUAAUCUAAAACUCCUGCAUGUUCCCUAGACACUAAUGUUAGAUAGUUAUCUCCAUGCAGGUAUUUAAUUGUUAUUGAUGAUAUAUGGGAUACAACAGUAUGGGAUAAUAUUAGCCAUGCUUUCCCAAAGGGCAGUCAUGGCAGCAGAAUAAUAACAACCACGCAGAUUGAAGAUGUUGCACUGACAUGUUGCUGUUAUCAGUCAGAGUAUGUGUUUGAGAUGAAAAGCAUGGAUGAUGAUCAAUCAAGAAAACUAUUCUUUAACAGACUAUUUGGCUCUGAAAGUUCAUGUCCUCCACAGUUGAAAGAGACUUCAAACGAAAUAGUUGAAAUGUGUGGUGGUUUGCCGCUAGCAACAAUCAGCAUAGCUAGUCUUUUAGCAAGCCAGCCUGUCAUGUCAGUUGAUCAAUUGACAUACAUCCGUGAGUCGUUAAGCCCCUGUAUCUCGGCAUGUUCUACUUCAGAGAGAACGAGACAAGCACUGAAUCUGAGCUUCAAUAAUCUUCCUGAUUACUUGAAGACAUGUUUGUUGUAUCUUAGUAUUUAUCCAGAGGGCUACACAUUCUGCAAGGAUGAUUUAGUGAAGCAAUGGGUGGCUGAAGGUCUCAUCGAUUCAAUGGAAAUGCAAGAUACGGAGAAAGUUGCAGAAAACUAUCUCCAUCAACUUAUUGAUAGAAGAUUCAUCCAGCCUGUACGUACCAACUACAAUAAUGAAGUGUUGUCGUGUGCAGUUCAUGACACAGUACAUGGUCUUAUUGCACACAAGUCUGCAGAACAGAAUUUCAUUGUUGCAAUAGACAACAACGAAAAGAACCCGGCUCUCUCCCAUAAGGCCCGUCGACUAUGUCUCCUUUCUCGUUAUGCAUCAUAUGGCAAGACACCAACAAACAUCAUGAAAUCACAAGUUCGGUCACUUAGAUUUGUUGGAUUAUCCGACUGUAUGCCCUGUAUUCAAGAGUUCAAGUUACUUCGCGUUCUAAACCUUGAAAUCACCUAUAAUCACGGCCCCAGUGAUCCUGUUGACCUCACCGGGAUGUCUGAACUGUAUCAACUGAAAUAUUUGAAGAUUGCAUGUGAUGUCUCCAUAAAACUGCCAAACCAUGGGCUACAAUGUUUAGAAACACUGGAUAUAAAGGAUGCAGUAGACACCUAUUUUGGAGGAGGUUGUAUCCUCCAUCUCCCACACUUGUUACACGCCAGUCUUCCUUUUAAGAAUAGUCAUAUGCGUAGUAUGGGCAAUAUGGCCAAGUUUGGGAAUGCCAGGUAUGUUGAGGAUUUACGUCUUACCAGUUAUUCUAGAGAUUACAUCGAUCUGGAGGGCCUUGUAGAAGCUCUGGGUUUCUUAAUUGGAGAAUAUCGCAACCUGAGAACUGUGGUAGUUUCUCAUUGCUCCAUGGUGACAAAUUAUGUGGUUUGUGGUGAUAUCAAUUAUUGGGAUAACAUGGAACCUCCCCCCCUUCUCCAGAGAUUUGAAUGGUCAUCCCCCAGUGGCAUGUUCUUGGACCGAAUUCCUAGGUGGUUUAAAGAACUAAAACACCUGUCCAUUUUGAAGAUUGCAGUGAGGAUACUAGAGACGGAUUGUGUGGAUGUUCUUAGAGGAUUGCAUGUCCUCACUGCUCUGUCCCUGUGUGUUCUGAAGUCACCCGCUUACAAGAUCAUAUUUGACAAGGCCGGGUUCUCAGAUCUCAAAUACUUCAAGUUGAAGUGCAUCAGUGGUAUAGCUCUGCUGAAAUUUGAGGCAGAUGCGAUGCCUAAUAUCUGUAAGAUCAAGCUAGUUUUCAAUGCCAGCCCCCAAAUGGACCAAUGUAAACGUGGUGCUGCGAUUAUCAUCAUCGAUCAUAUGCCAAGACUUAAAGAGGUCUCCGUAAAAUUUGGAGGUACAGCUUCUGAUGUAGAGUAUGCUGUGAGGACCUUCGUUAAUAAUCAUCCGAGCAAUCCCAAAAUAAGCAUGCAACAGGUGGAAUAUAGUUCAUGUGACGAGGAAAACACAAAGCAGAAACGACAACCAGAUGAGAUUAAGGAGGAAGAACGGGAUGCAUCAUGGAAGCAACAACCGGAUAAUAUUGUGGAGGAUGAACCUGAUGAAUCAUACAAACAACCACCAGAUAAGAUCAGCGAGGGAAAACCAGAUAAAUAUAAAAAGACACUGGAGAUACCAGCUGAUAAAAGGUAAUCUCAUUGUAAGAGCAAGGAAAUAUACCCUCCUCUACUUCAAAGUUGAUUCUUUGGUUAACCUGAUUUAAUGUAAUCAUGUUGUAACGAAUCUAGCUAAAUGGUUCUCAUAACCUGGAUUUCAAGGUCCCCAGAGUCUCUGCGUGCUUUCACCUUGGGUGAGCUCAUAUCUGCCACCAGCAACUUUUCGCAGCAAAACCGCCUCAGGAAACACAACUUCGAUGGCAGUAGCACCUACAAGGGGACCGUCGACGGCAAGGUCAUGGUCACCAUCAAAAAAUUCCCCCGCGGCGAGGAGCUGGUAAGUUCUUUAGUGUCCCCGUCCAGUCCUGCCUUCAGCUGGAAAUUCAAUCACAACAGCUCAUUGAGUAAUUAAUUUCAUCUUUGACCGAUUAGCCGGAGUUGGAGAAUCUUUGGACGACACAACAUCCUCAUGUGGUGAGGCUGCUGGGCUACUGCAACGAAGGCGGGCACGCGAUGCUUGUCUACGAGUACAUACCCAGGGGCAACCUCGCAGACAGUAAGCAUGCAUCCAUGGUGAUUCGGAUUGAAUUGACUAGUAUAUGAAAUUAUGAACGCAGGGUUCAUUUGCUAACAAUGUAAAUAUGCAUGAUUGUAUGGCUGCAGAUCUGAUUCGGUCGUUACCUUGGUUAACACGGCUCAAGAUAGCCAUCGGAGCAGCUAAAGGUUUGGCGUUUCUGCAUGAGUCAGCCAACUGCAAUAUCAUCGGUUUCAAUGCUUCGAGCAUUCUGCUUGGCUCGGUGAGUUUCACACAUCACCUGCUCACAGUAUAUAUAUCCCCGGCUUAUAGCAAUCCUACUGCACAACACAAUCAGUUCUUGUGUGUGCAUGGUUCUCCCAACAUUAAAACUGGGAAAAUGCCGGCAAAAUUUUCAAUACGUUUGGACUAAAAAAAUAUUGUAACCUUGUGUUUUGUGCUAUAAUCUUCAGGAUUACACGGCGAAGAUACAGGGUUUUUACAGGCGUGUGUAUAGUGAGGUGGGAGCGUGCAGUAACGUGUUCGACUUCGGAUUGGUGCUUGUAGCGCUGCUGACUGGGCAGCCAUGGGCAGUGUGGCGGGGCCAACGGUUGAGGGAAACGCUGUCGCGCCCCCACCUGAGCCGCAAGGGCAUUGAGCGCAGGCUGCACUGUAUGAUGGACCCAAGACUGGAGGGUCAAUACUCGUUUUCGGCAGCAUGGAGCGCUGUGAUGAUCGCGUGCCGGUGCAUGGAUAGCGAGUUAGUGAAUCGGCGAAAGGUGCGCAUGAGUGGAGUCGUGGGCGCCCUUGAGCCACUGCUCAGCGAUCACAGUAUCGGCGGGCCUGUGCGAGUAAGUGGCAAGCGACAGUCAAAGAAAUCUAAUAUGUUGGGAUGCUUUGCCAUUGUCACUAGAAAAGAUGGUGGAAUUAAGGAUGAAGAGGACAUGAAACUAACCAGACAGCUGGCAGGUGAGGCAAUAAAAGAGGGAGGCAAUACUAGGUUUCUGGAAGAAGAAUCAGACGAGGAGUUCUUUGACGGAUACAAUUAUAGAAACAGCUGGCGAGUGGGGCAGUAAAAGCAGGAGGCAAAACUAGGUUUCUGGAAGAAGAACCAGAAGUGCAGGGUAGCCCGUUGAUGUAAGCUAAGUUACUACCCAACGUCAUUUUCAUUAUCGUUCUCCUUUUCAGUUGGACAUUGUUCAGAUUCUGAAGAUAAAUUACUCGGAAACAAAACAUUCAGUUUGGCUUAUGAUCAUACCUUCUGCCUGGGCUUUUUUAAUCCUGAAUAUUAUGCAAACAAAUUCCUUCUGACUGUAGAUUGUUCAAUUUUAGUUCAGGGAGCAGAGCCUUUUUUUUUUGAGUGAACAUUAUUCGAAAAGAAGCACAUUCAGUUUGGCUCAUCAGACAUUAAUUCUGCCUGGGCCUCCACUUGAUGUCUGAAUUUUCUGCAAUGUUUUUCCUUGUGACCGGAGAGUGUUCAUAUUUGAUUCACGUAUGCACCUUCAAGCCUUUCUUUUUGGUACACUGAGAGGAUUCAUGAUCCAUUGUCUGUAUCCUCGACAGCGUCUCUGAAGAUCACACCUGCAACCAUUGUUCACGUAUGUAGUGAGUGCAGAAACAUCGGCCCAGGCAUCCUUCCCAAGUCUGAAUCUCCUGUGAACAAAAGCGACGAUAAUACAUCAUAUUCCCACCCAUCACAUAGUUCAUAUUACCUACUUCCUCCGUUCCAAAAUUAGUGUUGUGGUUUUAGUUCAAAUUUGACAGCCACAAGGAUGUGCUCAGGGUUGAACGGCGAUAGCUGUUGCCAGCGUUUUGAUUUUCGGCCGAAAAAACUAAAUUUCGGCCGAAUUUCGGCCAUCUCGCCUGGGCCCGGUAUAUGGGCCUUUCGUCCGAAUUAUUUGGCCCAGUUUGAAUUUAUUUGCCCGGCCCAGCUUCUAGGGCCUUCAUGUUACGCUUCUGCUCAUAUAAAAGCACGAACGCAAAUGUCCCAACCCUAGAAUCGCUGUUUUUCCUCUCGCUCCUCCUGUGGGCGGCGCCGCCGCUGCGCACAGAACACAUCCUCGCCAUCGUAGCUUCUCCGGCGUCCGGCCAACGCGCUCACUAGCCUCCCGCCUUCCUCCACAUCUCCUCGCCUCCACCCCAUCCAGUUCGUGCCAUUCGCUGCUCCAAGACAAGGGCAUGGCGCUCGGCGGCUGCGGCAACGAAGCUGAUGGUGCACGAGCCAACCAUGAAGGCAGUAGCACGGGGCAGCGACAGCAGCAUGGAGGGCGUCCUCUUGUUUGGGAAGGUACAAGCUUUCUUGAUGCGUAUACAUCUCAAUCAAGUACGUAGAUGCAGUUUCAGUUUCAGUACGUAGAUGCAGUUUCAGUACUUGUGCUUCUUUAGAUGAAUGAGAGGCUGCAAUAUCAUACAGGGGUAAGAAAAACUCAGUCUUGAUGAUUUGAACAGAGUAGUGGCAUCAUUAAUCUGAAAUACACAUGCAUCUUGUAGUCACCAAGGAUUCUGACAAUGUUUUGACUUGGUAUAUAAUCUGAAACGUACAUGCAUUUGGUAGUCAGAAAGGUUGCCCACGAUCUGGUAAUAGAAAAGUGGUUACAACCAGUGGCUUGUGCACAAAAUUAAAGCUUUUAUUAUCACAUCCAACCACUGGCUUGUAUAUUUGCAGAAGCAUCCCAUGUUUGAAUCGAUCAUUUAUUUAGAUCUACAACGCGUCCAAUAUAAACUUCAGUUGUGUUUGUGUAUUUAACUAAGUAGUUGUUGACCACUGAUUAAUUUCAAUGUCCAGCGGUACUAGAGCAUCAGCUUGUAUAUAAAUUAUUUAUUCCUUAGUAUCUAAACUAGAUAAUCUGUCUGUACUGUUUUUGUUCCUCAUUCAUAUCAGGACACCCUAGUAAGAAAGGUUUGCUUUCUUAGCUGUCUACUCUUUAUAACUGACCGUCGUUCUUUUGUCAUGUGAUUUUCAGGUAAUGGAACUGCAAAUAGGAGUGGCAGCGGCGACCAGGAUGCAAAUGGAAGUGGUUCCCAAAGACCUUGGAAAGGUAUUACUAUGCUUUGCUUGGUCACACGAUGCUAUUGGAACCAUGAUCUUUAUUUGCUAGGUUCAAUUAAACUGAUGUUUGUAACCUUGCAAUGCAGGACUUAAAGACAAUAACUUAUAUGAUCCUUGGAACCAUGCAUGGCCGUAUUAUGGGGGUUUUGAUUGCACGUACUGCAGCCUAAAGCACAAAGGUGGAGGUGCAACCCGUGUCGCGGAGCAUCUUGGUGGUAUUGUAGGUAAUGUGAGGAGCUGCCCCAAUGUGCCAAGAAAUGUGAGAGAUGCAAUGAGAGAGUGCCGGGAUGAAUCAAGGAGGAAGCAAAGAGACAAACAAAAUAGCAGGCUGAGAAUUGAAAGAAAUAUUAUGGAAGGGUUGUAUAAAAAAGGAGGGGUGGUUAACGUACCAGAUGAUGAUGAAGAAGAAAUUCAGAUGAAUAUUAGAGAAGCAUUGCGUGACCCGAAUGUCUCUCGCAGAAUUGAAAGGAGAAUUGGCAAGGGGGGUGUGGGUGAUGUGCAUGUUUCUGUUGGUAAAAGGAGUAUCAGCGCCUAUUUUGACAGGCAAUUAUCUAGCAACAAAGUAUCUAUGCAGCCCAAGAUCAGUAGUGCUUUGGAUCCUAAUUCAAGAGAUGCACUU
rnacentral:lncRNA from 1 species